UGAAUCAAUGCGGUAUUUGAUUGAAGCGGCUGAAGUUCACUCUACCAUUGAUGCUGGCAAUAAAACAUGCAGAACUUGUGCUCUGGCUUCCCUUAUUUCUCUUCAAAUUCGAAUGCCAGAUUCCAAGUGGCUCAGUUUAUCUGAAACCAAUGCCAGACGAUUACUAGUAGAGCAAUCCCGUUUCCAAGAGGCCCUAAUUGUUGCUGAAGCCUAUGAUCUUAAUCGGCCAAGUGAGUGGGCGCUGGUGCUUUGGAAUCAGAUGCUAAAGCCGGAGCUAACAGAAGAAUUUGUAGCUGAAUUUGUGGCAGUGCUUCCACUCCAACCUUCAAUGCUUAAUGAACUGGCAAGAUUCUAUAGGGCUGAGGUGGCUGCCAGAGGGGACCAAUCACAAUUCUCAGUUUGGCUGACUGGGGGAGGACUACCUGCAGAAUGGGCUAAAUAUUUGGGAAGAUCAUUCAGAUGCUUGUUGAAGAGAACUAGGGAUCUGAGGUUAAGGUUGCAGCUGGCUACGAUAGCAACUGGUUUUAGUGAUGUCAUUGAAUCAUGUACAAAGGCACUAGAUAAGGUUCCUGAAACUGCUGGACCUCUGGUACUGAGGAAAGGGCAUGGUGGUGCCUACCUCCCAUUGAUGUGAAACCAAAGCUUGAUGGAAAGACUAUGGUUGCUCCAAAAUCAGGACGUGAGAGUGAUUGGUGGUGGCAGUCCUGAUGACAAAGAUGAUUAUGAAAAAUUUUGAUGAUAAUAUAAUUUCUUGGGAAGAAAUAGAAAGCAGAAUACAUGAGAAGAAUCAAUACGGUUGUAAAUUAGUGAUUUAGGUGAUUAGUUAGAUGAAGCGGAAAGGUUGUAAAUUUUGAUUAUUUGGUGGGGGGAUAGUUCAGUUGGCUUUGGUUAUGUGUUCCUAUUUUACAGUUGAAAAGCAUUUUUGUAAGAUUUGUUGAUUUUAUUUCCCUAAGGUUGCCCUUCGGUGGCCAAUUACUUAGUGGCAGAGCCAGAAAAAAUUUUCUUUUAAG
rnacentral:misc_RNA from 1 species